rnacentral:ncRNA from 1 species
GCGUCCUGCCUCGUGAUCGUCUUCUCGCCCUUCACGUCGGCAGGCGGUACAACGAAAGGCUCCCGCAAGGCAGAUCCUUGCGGGAGCCUUUC